AUACGGAGGGUGCAAGCGUUAUCCGGAUUCAUUGGGUUUAAAGGGUUCGCAGGCGGCGUAUUAAGUCAGUGGUGAAAUCCCGAGGCUCAACCUCGGAACUGCCAUUGAUACUGGUAUGCUAGAGUAUAGUUGGCGUUGGCGGAAUGUAUUAUGUAGCGGUGAAAUGCUUAGAUAUGAUACAGAACACCGAUCGCGAAGGCAGCUAACGAAACUAUAACUGACGCUCAGGAACGAAAGCGUGGGGAGCGAACAGGAUUAGAAACCCUAGUAGUCC
rnacentral:rRNA from 1 species